AGAGUUUGAUCAUGGCUCAGAUUGAACGCUGGCGGAAUGCUUUACACAUGCAAGUCGAACGGCAGCACGGACUUCGGUCUGGUGGCGAGUGGCGAACGGGUGAGUAAUAUAUCGGAACGUAUCCAAUAAUGGGGGAUAACUAAUCGAAAGGUUGGCUAAUACCGCAUACGCCCUACGGGGGAAAGCAGGGGAUCUUCGGACCUUGCGUUAAUGGAGCGGCUGAUAUCUGAUUAGCUAGUUGGUGAGGUAAAGGCUCACCAAGGCGACGAUCAGUAGCUGGUCUGAGAGGACGACCAGCCACACUGGAACUGAGACACGGUCCAGACUCCUACGGGAGGCAGCAGUGGGGAAUUUUGGACAAUGGGCGCAAGCCUGAUCCAGCCAUUCCGCGUGAGUGAAGAAGGCCUUCGGGUUGUAAAGCUCUUUCGCAAGGGAAGAAAACUUACUUUUUAAUAAAGAGUGAGGUUGACGGUACCUUGAUAAGAAGCACCGGCUAACUACGUGCCAGCAGCCGCGGUAAUACGUAGGGUGCGAGCGUUAAUCGGAAUUACUGGGCGUAAAGCGUGCGCAGGCGGUUUUGUAAGUCAGAUGUGAAAUCCCCGAGCUCAACUUGGGAACUGCGUUUGAAACUACAAGACUAGAAUAUGUCAGAGGGGGGUAGAAUUCCACGUGUAGCAGUGAAAUGCGUAGAGAUGUGGAGGAAUACCAAUGGCGAAGGCAGCCCCCUGGGAUAAUAUUGACGCUCAUGCACGAAAGCGUGGGGAGCAAACAGGAUUAGAUACCCUGGUAGUCCACGCCCUAAACGAUGUCUACUAGUUGUUGGUGGAGUAAAAUCCAUGAGUAACGCAGCUAACGCGUGAAGUAGACCGCCUGGGGAGUACGGUCGCAAGAUUAAAACUCAAAUGAAUUGACGGGGGCCCGCACA
rnacentral:rRNA from 1 species